rnacentral:rRNA from 1 species
AGAGUUUGAUCAUGGCUCAGAUUGAACGCUGGCGGCAGGCCUAACACAUGCAAGUCGAGCGGUAGCACAGAGAGCUUGCUCUCGGGUGACGAGCGGCGGACGGGUGAGUAAUGUCUGGGAAACUGCCUGAUGGAGGGGGAUAACUACUGGAAACGGUAGCUAAUACCGCAUAAUGUCGCAAGACCAAAGUGGGGGACCUUCGGGCCUCAUGCCAUCAGAUGUGCCCAGAUGGGAUUAGCUAGUAGGUGGGGUAACGGCUCACCUAGGCGACGAUCCCUAGCUGGUCUGAGAGGAUGACCAGCCACACUGGAACUGAGACACGGUCCAGACUCCUACGGGAGGCAGCAGUGGGGAAUAUUGCACAAUGGGCGCAAGCCUGAUGCAGCCAUGCCGCGUGUGUGAAGAAGGCCUUCGGGUUGUAAAGCACUUUCAGCGGGGAGGAAGGCGGUAAGGUUAAUAACCUCAUCGAUUGACGUUACCCGCAGAAGAAGCACCGGCUAACUCCGUGCCAGCAGCCGCGGUAAUACGGAGGGUGCAAGCGUUAAUCGGAAUUACUGGGCGUAAAGCGCACGCAGGCGGUCUGUCAAGUCGGAUGUGAAAUCCCCGGGCUCAACCUGGGAACUGCAUUCGAAACUGGCAGGCUAGAGUCUUGUAGAGGGGGGUAGAAUUCCAGGUGUAGCGGUGAAAUGCGUAGAGAUCUGGAGGAAUACCGGUGGCGAAGGCGGCCCCCUGGACAAAGACUGACGCUCAGGUGCGAAAGCGUGGGGAGCAAACAGGAUUAGAUACCCUGGUAGUCCACGCCGUAAACGAUGUCGAUUUGGAGGUUGUGCCCUUGAGGCGUGGCUUCCGGAGCUAACGCGUUAAAUCGACCGCCUGGGGAGUACGGCCGCAAGGUUAAAACUCAAAUGAAUUGACGGGGGCCCGCACAAGCGGUGGAGCAUGUGGUUUAAUUCGAUGCAACGCGAAGAACCUUACCUGGUCUUGACAUCCACAGAACUUUCCAGAGAUGGAUUGGUGCCUUCGGGAACUGUGAGACAGGUGCUGCAUGGCUGUCGUCAGCUCGUGUUGUGAAAUGUUGGGUUAAGUCCCGCAACGAGCGCAACCCUUAUCCUUUGUUGCCAGCGGUCCGGCCGGGAACUCAAAGGAGACUGCCAGUGAUAAACUGGAGGAAGGUGGGGAUGACGUCAAGUCAUCAUGGCCCUUACGACCAGGGCUACACACGUGCUACAAUGGCAUAUACAAAGAGAAGCGACCUCGCGAGAGCAAGCGGACCUCAUAAAGUAUGUCGUAGUCCGGAUUGGAGUCUGCAACUCGACUCCAUGAAGUCGGAAUCGCUAGUAAUCGUAGAUCAGAAUGCUACGGUGAAUACGUUCCCGGGCCUUGUACACACCGCCCGUCACACCAUGGGAGUGGGUUGCAAAAGAAGUAGGUAGCUUAACCUUCGGGAGGGCGCUUACCACUUUGUGAUUCAUGACUGGGGUGAAGUCGUAACAAGGUAACCGUAGGGGAACCUGCGGUUGGAUCACCU